UUUAAAUGGCCGCAGUAUACUAACUGUGCAAAGGUAGCAUAAUCAUUAGUCUUUUAAUUGAAGGCUGGUAUGAAUGGUUGGACGAGAUAUUAACUGUUUCAUAAAAAUUUAUAAUAGAAUUUUAUUUUUUAGUCAAAAAGCUAAAAUAAAAUUAAAAGACGAGAAGACCCUAUAAAUCUUUAUAUAUAAAUUAUUAGAAUUUUGUAGAUUUUUUUUAUUAUAAUAAUUGAUUGUAUUUUAUUGGGGUGAUAUUAAAAUUUAAUAAACUUUUAAUUUUUAAAAUCAUUAAUUUAUGAAUAAAUGAUCCGUUAAUAACGAUUAAAAAAAUAAGUUACUUUAGGGAUAACAGCGUAAUUUUUUUGGAGAGUUCAUAUCGAUAAAAAAGAUUGCGACCUCGAUGUUGGAUUAAGAUAUAAUUUUAGGUGUAGUCGCUUAAAUUUUAAG
rnacentral:rRNA from 1 species